UUAUUUUUGUAAAAUUCUAUUUUAAAGUAAGCCGAGUUUGUAUUAUUCUAAGCAAUUUACAGGGCUUGUAACUUUGUGUAUGAUAUGUUUGGAAUGUAUAUACUGAAGUAAUUAUCUUAAAUGUGGAAGCACAAAGUAGUAAUUUUUUGAUUCAUGAAAGUCUUGCACAAUUGCAGACUUACAGUAGCUCUUGGAACUGUUCUCCAAUUCACAGUCAUUGGCUGUACUUAAAACAAGCCGGUGGUAGGCAGGAAACUGGAGUAUUUUAGCAAUUUCAGGUGAAAUGUUCUUUCUGCUGACAUACAAGUUUGUCUCAUUUUAUUUUAUUUUAUUUGUUUAUUUUUGGUACCCAGGAUUGAACUCACAACCUUGCCCUUGCCAGGCAGGCACUUGUGCCACUGAACUAAAUUCCCAGCCUGUCUCAAAUGGAGAAUUGCACCUUUAUUAAAAAAAGAAAGAAGGAAAGAAAGAAAGAAAAGCAAGCAAGCUUUACUAGCAUAUGGGGGUAUAGUACUGGUAAGGCAAAGCAAGAGGUUGGAGAAAAAUGUAGCGAAGUUUAUGUUCAUUAAGAAUUCAGCCUACUGUCUUGGCAUGGUGAUGUGUGCCUAUAAUCCCAGCACUCUGGGAAAUUGAAGUAGAAAGAUCACAAGUUCAGUCCCAGCCUAGGAAAUUCAGCAAGACUGUGUCAAAGAAUAAAACAGCGACAUGGAGAUAUGGCUCAGUGCAACGGCCUUGGGUUCCAGCCCCAUUUCUUAGGGAAAGGGUUUAGGGGCUCUGCAUGAAUAGUCAAAGUUUUUUCUUCUAGAUGUUUGUGAGCUGAGCACAGAGGAGUGAUCAAAAGAAAAAAGUUUCUUUCCUCAAGUAGCUUACUGAAUGUUUACACGAAGUGCUAGGCCUUGUUUAAGGCACAGUGUCUGUAAUAACUCAUUUGGUCACCAUCAGUGUGUUCGGUUAUAUAACUGAGCAACCAAACUAGGACACAGGUUAAAUAAUUUACCCGAAAUCCCAUAACUAGGAAAUGGCAGCUGGCAGUACACAUGGGAAACAUGGUUGAAGGGAAAUUUUUUAUGUUAGAAAGACAGUGGUGGUGAACCUUUUAGUGCUUAAGUGAUAUGGUCAUCCGCAGUGGCGUGCAUGCCAUAGGUUUGUCACCACUGAUGAAGACGACGUGUUGGCUGGAGGGUGAAUAAUAGUGACAUUAAGCUGUUUGGCCCAGGCUUCUGGGUGGCGAGUGUUACGCAGAGCAUCAAGGUGCCCUUUGUGGGGGAUGCGCUGCCCUUAGCCACUGUGACAGGUGCUCGAGUUGGGUACAUGCCCACGGUACAGGGGUGAGAUUGCGGUCCCAUUCCAAAGUGAUGGGCAGUCACCGAGGGUGUUAGCCAGGUAAUGACAUGUCCUGUAGGAGGAUGACUAUGUGUCCUUACGUGGACAGUAAAUUACGAGUUCACAGCUUGUCACUUCCUUUCCUGUAGAUUGGCGAGAUGUCUCACUCCCUUAGUCAUGAAACUUACAGUCUGUUUCAUUUCUCCAAAGGAUAGGGGCAUGGGCUUAUAUUAUACAACUAGGUUAAUUCCUGAUACCUAAGAACUGCUCAAAACUUAUAGAAAAUUAUUAAUUUUUUAUUGAAAAAUUUAGAAUCUUACAUUUACAUUUAAUGUUUUUUUUGCCUCACUGAGGUGAGAAUUUUUCAGCAGGUUGAAACUUCCAGAUAUCUAUCACACAGUCAUCAGAGACUUGUUGGAAACGGAGUUUCUGGGAUUUGAAACCACCACAGACUUCUAAUGAAAAGCAGGGUAAAAGAAAGGAGGCUUCAUAGCCACGCAUCUCUGCUUCCUAGAACCGAAUUAAAUGUCAGAACUGUAAAAGCAAGUUGUUCUGAUAUACCUGAUUUAGGUAAGAAUGAUUCUUCUCCAGUGAGCUCCUGUUUGUAUAGCAAUUCAUUCCCUUCUUCUCUUAUAUGAUCCAUAAUAUAGAAGUUACACGUUUGUUAAAAAUCCGUAAUAUAGAUUCAUCCCACUUUGAGUGUUUUAGUCACUUGCCUAAUGCCUUAGUUACUAAGAGUGACUCUAUGAAGACACUUUAAAGUCAUUCCCACACUGUGGAUGCCACUGCCUUGGUACUGCCACGUUCAUCUUAAGAGGGAAGUAGGUGACAAACAGGAAAUUUACCAAAACUGCCGAAUUAUUCUGUUUGCUUUCUAUAUUGUUUCUCUUUACCACAAGACAUUGAUCCUUAUUGGUAGUCUGCGUUGCCUUUGACCUCAGGUACUCAUACUUUCUGUUUUGCCUUUAUGUGCAUGUGUGCAUGCUCACAAUCUACUCCUCAAAUCCAUCCCCUUUUGUAGUAUUAGGAAUCAUGUGUCAGGCAAGUGCACUAUCACUUAGCUGCACCCCAGUCCUUCUCACGCUUAUUUACAUAGUAUGGCACACUUAUUUACAUUUAUGUAGUAUUACACUUACUUACAUUUAUUUAUUUACAUUUACUUAUUACAUUUACUUAUUUACAUUGUAUUUACGUUACUUAUUUACAUUUACUUAUUUACAUUUACAUAGUAUAAAGUUUUAAAGUGUACAGUUCAGUGCUUUUUAGUAAAUUUGUGCAGUUACGCAAACAUUACCACAAUCCAGUUUGAAAGCACUUCUCUUCUGUGUCUAUAGAUUUGUCUUUCGGGCUUUUGAAGUAAAUGAAACAAUAUGUAGUCUUGAGUCUAGGUUCUUUGAUUUAGCUGUAUUUUCAAGGUUCUUCCAUGCUGUAAUAUGUAGGAGGACUUUAUUCCUUUUUAUGACUAAUAUUCUAUUGAACAGAUAUUUCAGAGUUUGUGUAUCUGUUCAUUAGCUGUGGACAUUUGAUUUAACAGUUUUUGGCUAUGAGGAAUAAUGCUACUGUGAACAUUCACGUAUAAGGCUUUGUGUGAGUAUGUUUUCUGUCUCUUAGAUGGAUCCCCAAGCGUGGAAUUCUUGGACUGCAUGUAAAUUUAUGUUUAGUUUUUAAGAUACGUCAAAGGGUUUCACAGCGGCUGCACUGGUUUUACACCCUUAUCAGCACUGUAUGAAGUUUCAGUUCCUCCGUGUGCGCCUGCCAGCUCCCCUCCACCGUGGUAGACCUAUAGAGGAGCAAAAAGUUUUGCUUGCUGUGCAUGUUCCUUGCUGAGGGGGGACAGAAGCUGAGCUCUCUCACCUGUCUCAACUGUCAGACUGAGGGAUGGUGGUUGGAGACCCAAAGGACCAGGUAGUGCUUGAAGGUCCACAUAACCCUGGGCCUCCUCACCGUGGCUUGGAUCCUGAAUAUGGAUGGCACCAGUUAGUCCUUGGGAAAGCUUCAGGCAAAUCAGUAACUUAAGUUCAUGCUUUCUUUUAAAAAGUAAAUAAAUGAGUUUAGGAUUUGGGAUUGUAACGUGUGGUAUAUGUCCGGAUGUGUGUCACUGCAGAGGGUCCCAGGAGGUUCCCACGGCAGGGUAAGGAACUUAAGUGAGGAAAGUGGCUCCAUCCUCAGGACCAUCAAAGCAAAACUGUCUCUGAGUGAAGUUUUAUUAGAGGAGAUGAACUGUACCUUGGCACUCACUUGAUACGAAACCUAAUAAAAGAAUGACAAGGAAAAUCCUCUAUUUUAUAUUUUAUACAAACUUAAAAUGUUGAGUCUCUACCUCAGUCCUCCUGCAAGACAAAAUUUUCAGUGAAUUUUUUUCUCCUGUGUUUGCUUUUUUUUUUUUUUUUUUCUUAAUUACUAAAGGCAAAAACUUGAGCACUGGUCUCUUUUAUUUUGUGGGAGAGGUCAAAAUCCAAAAAUCCAAAAUUACCAAAAGAUGUACUUUGAAAUAUCCUCCUUUUCCACAUCCAUGUUCUCAUGUUGUCCUACUCCAUUUCCACAGUACACUGCAGUUUUUCAUAAUUCAUGGUGAAUGUUUAUAUGGAUAAUAAUAAAUGCAACGUAUUUAUUUAAUUUGUUCUAAUAGAUUUCUAUCAAACAGCCAAAAAUAAAUUAAUUUUGAGCACCAUGUAUUUAUUCAUGAGAUUUAUUUCUGUGGAAUGCCUUAUCCACUAAUAUCAGAUAAAAUAAUUUUGACAUACAUUAUUUUUCCAAUAUAUUUUAAAAUUAAAAUUUGAAAAAUAUUCCUUUUAUGUACUUUGUUUAUAUCAUUUGCUACUGAACUGUGGACUUUGUAAAUUCGACACCAUAGAUGAAUUUAUAUAUUUUACUAUUUAUUUCUUUAAAAUAUUUAGACAUUAUGCCAGCUGCUAAGAGUACAGCCAUGUAUAAGAUAUGUUCCUUACCAUUUAAAUUGUGUAUGAUCCUCAUGAAAUAGCAAUGGAAACUUAGUGUUGCUCUUACCCACUGUUCAUUUAGCUCAGUAAAUUAUUCACUGAAUAUGUGACUGUCACUCUGCUGGCUCUGAAUGUCUUCAGGUACUUAAAAAAUAAAUACACAGUGGAAUAAAGAAUCCAGUGAAAAUGGCUUUGUGGGAAAAUAAUUUCAUUGGAAAGAAUUUGGAUUGAGAUCUGAAGUGAGGUGAAUGACCUUUUAAAACUAUUCUCUCUUCUAAUUGGACAAAUUUAUUCUCAGUUUACUGACUUUUCUUUGGUAAUAAAGUUAAUCUCUUCCAGGGUACAUAUGAGGUAUAGUCCUGAGUUGCUAUGGAUAUAGGAAGUAUGGCAGUUAGCACCCCCUUAGAUAUGUAAAUGAGCUUUUAUGACAUCUGUUAAUUGAUAUUUUGACAAGUUUUUAUACAAGGCUUUGAGUCCAUUUUCAGAUCUUGUUUAAAUGUGUUUCUGAGAUUCACGUGUAACCCAAAGAAGUGGCACUUUUAUGUCUAUAGAGGAGACUGAAUGGUUGCAGCUUGUUUUGGUAAACAGAACUUGUUUUAUGAGGCCUUUCCGAAACCUAAGGAGCAGGGAACCGGUCUCUAAUUUUGUUAGCUUCAUAAUAGUUCAGCUGACAUGUCAAGAUUGAGAAGCUUUGACAGCGUUCAUUUUUAAUAUGCUUUUCCAGUGUUGCAUAGGAUGUAAAAUUUUAAAAGUCAAAAAAUUUUAAAUAGCAGCAUAUAAAGGCAGUUUCUCUAGUCAUCAAGUUAGUGCUUACUUGAACAUUUGCUAAUUCUGUUUUUUCCCUUUUCAUUUAUCUACCUUUGCAGUAUUUUAUGUCUCAUUGCAGGCUGUUCACUGCGAAAAAGAGAGAAACCUAGUCUUGUCUGUUUACCUGUUAUCAUCCCUAAUCACAUCUGAUCACUUACACAUUUUCUCAAACCUGAUUUUAUACGAGUAGAAUCUGUAAUAAAAUAUUGCUGAAAGAUGUUCUUGGGUGUAUUUUAAUCUCACUGACAGCAUGUUAGGUUCACAGAAACCAGAUAACUGGUUCAUCUGCUCCCCCUUGUGGUAGACACUCAGGAUUAGCCCAAAAAGCUUUUGUUUAUAGAUUUUAAAACCUCUAUUACUCUCUAGUGAGAAGAGACAGAGAUUUGGAUAAUCUGAAGUAUAUUUUAAGAAUAAUUUAGAUUGGACUCUGGGUGACAGUUGGCAGGAUGUGACUUAACGCUGCUGAGUCCAGGUACAUGCUCAGAUUACCUGCAUGACUGGGCGCCCCAGGUGCUGUCCAGAGAGUCUGUCUGCCUGUCCGGGGUGGGAUCAGACAUCUACAGUUAUGUUCAGGUCAAAUUUAAUCUGCUUUAUAACUUUAAUUUGAAGAUUUACAGGUUAUUUUAAUAUGCAAUCAGGAUUAUACUCUCUUCUACAACCAAACAUUUAGGGAGGGCAUAUCAAGAUCUCUAAUGAUAGUUUGUUACCUUCCUGGUACUUAGCACUGUAUAGAGCACUUUUACAUAGUUUAUAUAUUGUGUAUUAUAUAAUUAUUGCGUGUUAUAUAAAAGGGAUUCCUUUUAUAUAGUAAGCAGUCUUUAAAGCAGUAACUGAAUGAUCUUAGAUUACACAAUAGUUGAGAGGAAAAACAAGGGUUGCAAAUCAAGACCUCUGAUUUUAAAUCUUUUUCACACACCAGUGUUUCGGCCUCAGAGUCCUCAGCUGAAAUGAGAGAUCUUGAAUUGUUUCAUGACUGGAGUUCUAGUUGUGUAUGGUGAAGUGCUUUUUGCCUAUGGCUUCAUUCUGUGAAUGAGUUUUGCACAAAUGAGCUGAGGACGUAGCUGUGUUCAGCUUUAGUGUGAAGCGCGCAGGUUUCCUGGGUCUCUGUCAGGCAGGGCUGUCUCCAGCUGUGCCACGUUGCCAAGCAGUUGACUGUAGCAUGAGACUGAUGUAGAUGUAAAUGAGAAAUAGGAUUAUUGCAUAAACAGUUGGUAUCUAAACCUAAUAAUUAUUGACCUUUAUGUGUCCAGCUUUGGCUAACUGAGUAGUUGGUAGAUAAAUCAGGUUUGUUAGAUCCCAUUACUACACAAAAAGCAGUCUUUAGACACUAUAUUGGAAUUUUGUUCUUUGUUAUAAUAAAUGGGCCUUUCCAUUAUUUUAUGAUUAUUUCUAGUAUUUUAUAAGAUACCCAGGUAUUUAUUAAUAAAUAUUUGUUUUAAUAAACUUUGAUUCUGUAUAGAUUUCUUCUAUUUUCAAUGUUUAUUCAGCUGUUAAAAAUGUUAGGUAACAUAGCAUUUUCUAUUUUUGAAAACCCAUGCUAUAAAAAUUAAGUUUAUGUCAUAGAAAAAUCUUUCAUAACAUUGAAAUCCGUAAAUAAAAAAUCAAAUUUAUGCUUUAUCUGACCUGUUAAUGACAUCUUUUAAGUACUGUUUCAGUUCUUCCACUGAUAACUUGCACUUUUCUGUUAGAUAUCUACAGUAUUACUUGUUUAUUUGGACAUUUAUGCUCUUACUCAUUUUUCAUUUCUUUCACUAUUUUUUCGAUUGAAAAAAUUAUACAUGUACAGUUAAAGCAUACUUCUGGCAAAAGCCUGUAAUGAUGAAAAUGUUCAUCUCUAUCCCAAACCUUUCAGUUCCCUUUCUCGCAAGCAGCUAUGUAUACUUUCUCUGUUCCUGUGUCUUAUUUCCUUUUUGUUUAAUAACGUAUCAAAUCAGAAUUGUAAUAAACAAUAUUGCACUA